rnacentral:rRNA from 1 species
CAACGUGAGGAACGUGCCCCAGAGACCGGGAUAAGCCGAGGAAACUUGGUCUAAUACCGGAUGUCCCCACCGGAUCGCAUGGUCUGGUGAGGAAAUGGAUUCCGCUCUGGGAGCGUCUCGCGGCCUAUCAGCUAGUUGGUGAGGUAACGGCCCACCAAGGCGUCGACGGGUAGCUGGUCUGAGAGGAUGAUCAGCCACACUGGGACUGAGACACGGCCCAG